rnacentral:rRNA from 1 species
AUUGAACGCUGGCGGCAUGCCUUACACAUGCAAGUCGAACGGUAACAGGUCUUCGGACGCUGACGAGUGGCGAACGGGGGAGUAAUGCAUCGGAACGUGCCCAGUCGUGGGGGAUAACUGCUCGAAAGAGCAGCUAAUACCGCAUACGACCUGAGGGUGACAGCGGGGGACCGUAAGGCCUCUCGCGAUUGGAGCGGCCGAUGUCAGAUUAGCUAGUUGGUGGGGUAAAGGCCUACCAAGGCAACGAUCUGUAGUUGGUCUGAGAGGACGACCAGCCACACUGGGACUGAGACACGGCCCAGACUCCUACGGGAGGCAGCAGUGGGGAAUUUUGGACAAUGGGCGCAAGCCUGAUCCAGCAAUGCCGCGUGCAGGAAGAAGGCCUUCGGGUUGUAAACUGCUUUUGUCAGGGAAGAAAUCUUCUGGGCUAAUACCCCGGGAGGAUGACGGUACCUGAAGAAUAAGCACCGGCUAACUACGUG